UACGAGGGGGGCAAGCGUUGUCCGGAAUCAUUGGGCGUAAAGCGCGCGUAGGUGGCUUCGUAAGUCCGUUGUGAAAGUCAAAGGCUCAACCUUUGAAUGCCGAUGGAUACUGCGGAGCUAGAGUACGGAAGAGGCGAGUGGAAUUCCUGGUGUAGCGGUGGAAUGCGCAGAUAUCAGGAGGAACACCAAUAGCGAAGGCAGCUCGCUGGGACGUUACUGACACUAAGGCGCGAAAGCGUGGGGAGCGAACAGG
rnacentral:rRNA from 1 species